GUAAACAAAAAACAAGUGUGUUUAGAUACCCCAAUACCUACCUUUCUGCUCAAAACUUAGCUCCAUAUAAAAGAAAACAUAUUACUUGAUUUCAGGCUCAAAUUAUAUUACUUUUUGGAUGAAAUGUCAUUUCUAAACGACUACAUGCUUAAAUUGUAACAAUAUGAAAACUAUGUAUGUUUUCAGGUCAGAUUCGGCCAUCGGAAUGGACCUUUAUAAUACACU
rnacentral:lncRNA from 1 species